rnacentral:lncRNA from 1 species
GUUUCAGAGCACGUCCUCCUCGGCAGAGGGGGCUGGACUAGACCUUGGACAGCCCCCCCAAAAACUUGCCGAGCCUCACACACCACUUCACUCUGCACUCCGAGGCUCAGGGAGCAAGUGUUUGGAGUGGGGGGGAAAGUUGGCUUUUUUUCCCCCUCCUUGGUCUUUAGCGCCCUUUUCUCUCCCUCAGAAGAGAAGAGCGACAUAAACUAUUUUAGACGCAAUCAAGGAAGAAUCGCCCAUCAUGUGGAAUUGAGCGGCAGUUUUAAAUGUACUAAGAGAAGACUGGUCUCGAAAAAAAAAACAAAAAAACAAAACAUUUUUUUUCCCCUUCUUUUUUUGGAGACGCCUAAAGGAGCCUGUUUGUGUGCUGUGUGGCCACGUUCUGCUGUGACUGGAUCUUGUCUUCUGCCUGGCUCCUCGAUUUCAUUCCGGCUGGAUUUGGGGACAACACUGCUUGGCGCAGACAGAUCAAAUGACACUUCAAAGAAGCAUAAAAUGAACAGACUAUUCAAACAAAGACCGGGGCAGCAGUACGCCAGCAAGAGGGCAUGUUCUGCCCGCCUAGAAGUCCUAAGAAAUCGAGGAUCUCCCUUAAAACAUUCACAUACAAGAUAUGUGCAAUCAAGCUGCCUGCACUUGGUAAAAAAGAUCAUGAUGCCUAACCCAAUGAUCCGGAGCAGAUCUUUGAAUCAGCUGUCACUUCUAUAGAUGGGAUUUCCCCCUUCUUCCUCUUUAACCAGCGUUGGAAACUGCCGAUGGCUUUAUACAUCUCAGUAGAGGAAGGCUAAAGAAUCUUCCGUGAGAAUGAAGCAAUUUACAAUGCAAAUAGAGGCCUGUGAAGAGAAGGACACUGCUGCUCACCCCCAACAGCUUGCUGCACCUUAGUCGCUGGUCUUAAUUUCUGAUACUCAUAGAUGAAUUGUUGGCUAACGAUACUGGAGAUUACUUGCUGGAAGGGGAAAAGUUUGGAAUAAACUCUGAAUGCAACAGAUCUCA